ACCGGAAGGUGCACUUGGUAAACUCAGGGCUUAGCUAAGCACAGAUAUAGCGUCUCC
rnacentral:tRNA from 1 species